ensembl:lncRNA
UUGGCCCGUAGGAGAAUUUUGUUAUUUGGAAAUCUUCUACUUCCCCAUCAGCUUCGGUCUGGCUGGAAGAUGUAAUGUUUUUUCUAAAGCUGGAGAAGAUCAAAUUUACACUCAGAGGGUCUGUGGAAAGGUUCUAUUUCAAGUGGGGACCGUUUUUGUCGUAUUUUGAGAGUCUGAAAGAGUUGCCCACUGGGUGAGUGUCCCUAACUGUAACUGAGACCCUCCCCCCUCUCUAUCCUUUCCUAGCCGUUUAUUUAUUUAUUCUUCUUUCUAUUCAUUGCCUAUUUAUUUAUCUCCUUUUUUCCCUAUUGAUAUUAGAUCGCCUCACAGAAUGGUUGACACAUUGUAAAUAUUUACUAUAUUUGAGCCACUUAAUGUGUUAUGGACAUAUGAGGGCCUAUGUUUUGUAAGAAUAUUGAUGCAUAGCUGUGAAAAUGUACAUUCAUGACUGAGAAAUGUUUUUUGUUUUUAUGAACAUACUAACUGUCAAGAGGUGUAUGGGGAGGGUGGGUG